rnacentral:rRNA from 2 species
GAUUUCUGGCUUGGUGCGCGCCGUCCGCUUCGGUUACGGAGUGUGUGCGGUUGUGCGCCUGCCAUCCUUCUGGUUAGCAUGCUGUGCCCUUCACUGGGUGUCAGGUGCUGAUUGGAUCUUUUACUUUGAAAAAAUUAGAGUGUUCAAAGCAGGCUUGCGCUAUGAAUACAUUAGCAUGGAAUAAUAAUUUAGGACUUUUGUUCUAUUUUGUUGGUUUCUAGGACGAAAGUAAUGAUUGAUAGGGAUAGUUGGGGGUGCUAGUAUUCAGCGGCCAGAGGUGAAAUUCUUGGAUUCGCUGAAGACUAACUUAUGCGAAAGCAUU